AAUCCUACGGGGGGCAGCAGUGGGGGAUAUUGCACAAUGGGGGGAACCCUGAUGCAGCGACGCCGCGUGAGUGAAGAAGCGCCUCGGCGCGUAAAGCCCUGUCAGCAGGGAAGAAAAUGACGGUACCUGAAGAAGAAGCCCCGGCUAACUACGUGCCAGCAGCCGCGGUAAUACGUAGGGAGCAAGCGUUAUCCGGAUUUACUGGGUGUAAAGGGCGUGUAGGCGGGCCUGCAAGUCAGAAGUGAAAUCUGGGGGCUUAACCCCUAAACUGCUUUUGAAACUGUGGGGCUUGAGUGAUGGAGAGG
rnacentral:rRNA from 1 species